AACGAACGCUGGCGGCAUGCCUAACACAUGCAAGUCGAACGAAGGCUUCGGCCUUAGUGGCGCACGGGUGCGUAACGCGUGGGAAUCUGCCCUUUGGUUCGGAAUAACAGCUGGAAACGGCUGCUAAUACCGGAUGAUGACGAAAGUCCAAAGAUUUAUCGCCAGAGGAUGAGCCCGCGUUGGAUUAGGUAGUUGGUGGGGUAAGGGCCUACCAAGCCGACGAUCCAUAGCUGGUCUGAGAGGAUGAUCAGCCACACUGGGACUGAGACACGGCCCAGACUCCUACGGGAAGCAGCAGUGGGGAAUAUUGGACAAUGGGCGCAAGCCUGAUCCAGCAAUGCCGCGUGAGUGAUGAAGGCCCUAGGGUUGUAAAGCUCUUUUACCCGGGAAGAUAAUGACUGUACCGGGAGAAUAAGCCCCGGCUAACUCCGUG
rnacentral:rRNA from 1 species